rnacentral:rRNA from 1 species
AUUGAACGCUGGCGGCAGGCCUAACACAUGCAAGUCGAGCGGAUGACGGGAGCUUGCUCCUUGAUUCAGCGGCGGACGGGUGAGUAAUGCCUAGGAAUCUGCCUGGUAGUGGGGGGCAACGUUUCGAAAGGAACGCUAAUACCGCAUACGUCCUACGGGAGAAAGCAGGGGACCUUCGGGCCUUGCGCUAUCAGAUGAGCCUAGGUCGGAUUAGCUUGUUGGUGAGGUAAUGGCUCACCAAGGCGACGAUCCGUAACUGGUCUGAGAGGAUGAUCAGUCACACUGGAACUGAGACACGGUCCAGACUCCUACGGGAGGCAGCAGUGGGGAAUAUUGGACAAUGGGCGAAAGCCUGAUCCAGCCAUGCCGCGUGUGUGAAGAAGGUCUUCGGAUUGUAAAGCACUUUAAGUUGGGAGGAAGGGUUGUAGAUUAAUACUCUGCAAUUUUGACGUUACCGACAGAAUAAGCACCGGCUAACUCUGUG